AAUGGUCUGGGGAGAGCCUCCUGUGUUGUUGAACCUGCCCAGUUGUGGGUGCACAGCCUUGUACCAGGUAGCCCAACUCUACCAUGAAGUAAGUUUCUAGAAGUCUUUCCUGGGAUUUGAAUUUGCAGUGAGAGGUAUGAGCAUUCUAGCAGCAGUUUGAUGAUCAUGUAGGAUACUGCAAACAGGA
rnacentral:snoRNA from 1 species